rnacentral:rRNA from 1 species
UACGUAGGGGGCAAGCGUUAUCCGGAUUUACUGGGUGUAAAGGGAGCGUAGACGGUGAUGCAAGUCAGAAGUGAAAGCCCGGGGCUCAACCCCGGGACUGCAUUUGGAACUGUAUGGCUGGAGUGUCGGAGAGGCAGGCGGAAUUCCUAGUGUAGCGGUGAAAUGCGUAGAUAUUAGGAGGAACACCAGUGGCGAAGGCGGCCUGCUGGGCUUUUACUGACGCUGAGGCGCGAAAGUGUGGGGAGCAAACAGG